ACGAAGGGUGCAAGCGUUACUCGGAAUUACUGGGCGUAAAGCGUGCGUAGGUGGUUGUUUAAGUCUGUUGUGAAAGCCCUGGGCUCAACCUGGGAACUGCAGUGGAAACUGGACAACUAGAGUGUGGUAGAGGGUAGCGGAAUUCCUGGUGUAGCAGUGAAAUGCGUAGAGAUCAGGAGGAACAUCCAUGGCGAAGGCAGCUACCUGGACCAACACUGACACUGAGGCACGAAAGCGUGGGGAGCAAACAG
rnacentral:rRNA from 1 species